UCGCUCCUACCGAUUGAAUGAUCCGGUAAAGCCUUUGGACCGUGACAUUAGGGGCAACUCUCUUGUCGUGGGAAGUUGGUUAAACCUUAUCAUUUAGAGGAAGGUG
rnacentral:rRNA from 1 species